UUGUGCUCAUGUCUUUAUCAUUAAUCUCCCUCGUGACUGGUAGCUUUGUCUUUAUACAGUCAUGUGACACAUGGCUUUGUUUGUUUGUUUUUAUUAUUGACAAAAUGAUAAUAUACUAAAUAAUUCCAGUAAAUAGUAGCAGCACAUACAGAACAGAUAUGAGUGGUACUGAUACGAGGCUUUGUGAUAUAUUUACUACAAAUGGCAUGACACUAUACUUGCGACCUGCACUGCCUGUUUUGCAACAUUUUAUAAGCAAACUGUCUUUGCCUCAGGGGACCGCAACUGCUAUGUUUCUGCACAAUGUUGCAUUUCAGGUUUUACAACUCUCAUGAAAAGUCAUUUAUUUUCUUAUGUUAAGAGGGGAUUUGUGUGCAUUUAAGUGUCUUCUUUCAGUUUCAGGGUUUGGAUCUGGAAUUUUGAGAUGUCCGGGAAUAACGGAGGAAACCAGUAUCCCACUGGUUUUAAUCCCCAGCCAAUACCAGGAGGAUACAAUCCUCAAUAUCCACCAGGCACUGCCCCACCUCAACCCUACCCUCCUCAGGCCUACCCUCCUCAGCCCUACCCUCCUCAGCCCUACGCUCCUCAACCUGGUGUUCCGCCUGCAUACUAUCCUGUAGCCCCACCUUCUGGAGGUGUUCAUGUUCAUGUUCAUGGUCAUGGAUAUGGGCAUGGACAUGUGCUUGGACGUGGACGUGGACGUGGACGUGGACGUGGGUGUGUGCGUGGUCGUGGACUUUGGCAUUGACACGGUCAUGGGCACGGGGAUGGGCAUCACGGGUAUGGGUAUGGCCACAGACACAAGCAUGGUCACAUGCAUGGCCAAUGCAACAAGAAAGGAAAAAAGUGUCACGGGUACUCCAGCAGCUCCUGCAGCAGCGAUUUGGACUAGAUGAAGAUGUCUGGAAGGAAACAAGACAAGGUGGCACCUGGAAAGCUUCAACCUGCUACCUUACAGUAUAUAAUAAUAAACUGUUCAUUUGACCACC